UACGGAGGAUGCGGGCGUUAUCCGGAUUUAUUGGGUUUAAAGGGUGCGUAGGCGGGUUAUCAAGUCAGCGGUAAAAUCGUGGAGCUCAACUCCAUCCAGCCGUUGAAACUGAUGAUCUUGAGUGGGUGAGAAGUAUGCGGAAUGCGUGGUGUAGCGGUGAAAUGCAUAGAUAUCACGCAGAACUCCGAUUGCGAAGGCAGCAUACCGGCGCCCGACUGACGCUGAAGCACGAAAGCGUGGGUAUCGAACAGG
rnacentral:rRNA from 1 species